GCCUCUUUUUUAAUUGCACUUUUCUUCUAUUUGGAUCAGUCAUUCAACUAAUUGCAUGUGCAAGUAACAUAUAUUAUAUUAAUGACAAUCUUGAUAAGAGAACUUGGACUUAUAUAUUUGGAGCAUGUUGUGCUACAACAGUGUUCAUUCCUUCAUUCCACAAUUACAGAAUUUGGUCAUUUGUAGGCCUUCUUAUGACUACUUACACUGCAUGGUAUCUUACCAUAGCUUCUCUUCUCAAUGGACAGGUUGAGGGAGUGAAGCACUCAGGACCAACAACAAUGGUUCUCUACUUCACUGGGGCUACAAACAUUCUUUACACCUUUGGUGGCCAUGCUGUCACAGUGGAAAUAAUGCAUGCAAUGUGGAAGCCACAAAAGUUCAAGACAAUAUAUUUGAUAGCAACAAUUUAUGUGUUAACACUAACAUUGCCAUCAGCAAGUGCAGUGUAUUGGGCUUUUGGAGAUGCACUUCUCACCCACUCUAAUGCUUUGGCUUUGUUGCCAAAGACUAAAUUUAGAGACUCUGCUGUCAUUCUCAUGCUUAUUCAUCAGUUUAUUACAUUUGGAUUUGCAUGUACCCCAUUGUACUUUGUAUGGGAGAAGUUCAUUAGAGUUCAUGAGACAAAGAGCUUAUUUAAAAGAGCAAUGGCAAGACUCCCUGUGGUUAUUCCAAUAUGGUUUUUGGCAAUUAUUUUCCCAUUCUUUGGGCCUAUCAACUCCUCUGUUGGAUCUCUUCUUGUUAGCUUCACAGUCUACAUUAUUCCUGCCUUAGCACACAUGCUUACUUUUGCUUCACCAUCAGCUAGAGAGAACGCGGUGGAGCAACCACCAUCAUUCUUGGGAAGGUGGGUUGGGUUAUAUUGUACCAACAUAUUUGUUGUGGCAUGGGUUUUUAUUGUUGGUUUUGGAUUUGGAGGGUGGGCAAGUAUGGUCAAUUUUGUACAUCAAAUUAACACUUUUGGACUCUUCACUAAGUGUUAUCAAUGCCCUCCACAUAAGGCUUGAGUAGGAUAUAUUGUUACUAUUUAUUUAAGGAAGGAACUUGAGAAAAACUAAAAUACAUAUAUGAAGUGUGUAAAAAAUUAUUUGGCUUUUAAUUUUCUUGCAAGACUUCUUUGUUAACUUGAGUGCUAGUGGAUUUUUUUUGUUGAAGAAACCUUUGUUUUUGGGGGCUUUAUGUAAUGUGGAUUAUUUG
rnacentral:misc_RNA from 1 species